rnacentral:rRNA from 1 species
CCAGACUCCUACGGGAGGCAGCAGUGGGGAAUAUUGGGCAAUGGGCGCAAGCCUGACCCAGCAACGCCGCGUGAAGGAAGAAGGCUUUCGGGUUGUAAACUUCUUUUGACAGGGAAGAGUAGAAGACGGUACCUGUCGAAUAAGCCACGGCUAACUACGUGCCAGCAGCCGCGGUAAUACGUAGGUGGCAAGCGUUGUCCGGAUUUACUGGGUGUAAAGGGCGUGUAGCCGGGUUGACAAGUCAGAUGUGAAAUCCUGCGGCUUAACCGCAGAACUGCAUUUGAAACUAUUGGUCUUGAGUGCCGGAGAGGUAAUCGGAAUUCCUUGUGUAGCGGUGAAAUGCGUAGAUAUCAGGAGGAACACCGGUGGCGAAGGCGGCCUGCUGGACGGAUACUGACGCUGAGGCCCGAAAGCGUGGGGAGCGAACAGGAUUAGAUACCCGAGUAC